rnacentral:rRNA from 1 species
GAUGAACGCUGGCGGCGUGCCUAAUACAUGCAAGUCGAGCGAACGGACGAGAAGCUUGCUUCUCUGAUGUUAGCGGCGGACGGGUGAGUAACACGUGGAUAACCUACCUAUAAGACUGGGAUAACUUCGGGAAACCGUAGCUAAUACCGGAUAAUAUUUUGAACCGCAUGGUUCAAAAGUGAAAGACGGUCUUGCUGUCACUUAUAGAUGGAUCCGCGCUGCAUUAGCUAGUUGGUAAGGUAACGGCUUACCAAGCCAACGAUGCAUAGCCGACCUGAGAGGGUGAUAGGCCACACUGGAGCUGAGACACGGUCCAGACUCCUACGGGAGGCCGCAGUAGGGAAUCUUCCGCAAAGGGCGAAAGCCUGACGGAGCAACGCCGCGUGAGUGAUGAAGGUCUUCGGAUCGUAAAACUCUGUUAUUAGGGAAGAACAUAUGUGUAAGUAACUGUGCACAGCUUGACGGUACCUAAUCAGAAAGCCACGGCUAACUACGUG